rnacentral:misc_RNA from 1 species
GAUGAAGAACGUAGCGAAAUGCGAUAAGUAAUGCGAAUUGCAGAAUUCAGUGAGUCAUCGAAUCUUUGAACGCACAUUGCGCCCCUUGGCAUUCCGAGGGGCACACCUGUUCGAGCGUCAUUUCACCAGUCAAGCUCCGCUUGGUGUUGGGGAUCGGCUCUGCCCUUCUGGGCGGUGCCGCCCCCGAAAUACAUUGGCGGUCUCGCUGCAGCCUCCAUUGCGUAGUAGCUAACACCUCGCAACUGGAACGCGGCGCGGCCAUGCCGUAAAACCCCAACUUCUGAAUGUUGACCUCGGAUCAGGUAGGAAUACCCGCUGAACUUAAGCAUAUCAAUAAGCGGAGGA